rnacentral:lncRNA from 10 species
UAUUCACAGGUGCAAUCAUAGUGCACUACAGCCUCAAACUCCUAGCCUCAAGCAAUCCUCAUGCCUCAGCCUCCAGAGUAGCUGGGCCUACAGGUACUUAACACCUCAUCUGGCAUCCCCCAGUCAGAUAUUUGGAUGAGACCCCUGCCUUGGCUAACACCUUGAUGAAAACCUGUGGAAGGUUCUAAGGCAGGACCCUCAGCGCAGCCACUUCUCCAGGCACUCGGCAGAGAGAACGCGCGUAGGCGUUGCCCUGGCAACGCCGGGAUGCCCAGCAACAAGUCCGCGGCGUGUAUCACGUGCUCGGCGCGGACCAAUCCGAGGGCCCGCCGGGAAGCAGGAGCAAUAGCAAAAAUUGGGAAUGGGAAGAAACAGGUACCAGCCAGGACACCUGAACGAACUUGGAGCUCAGGAACCCAGGAGGGGAUUGGAGAGAGUGGGGAGACUCCAUGGUCCACAAUGAAUGCUCCUUCCCCAUCCGAAAAAAUCCCCUAGCCCAGUUUUUGGGCAGAUGCCAGACUUUUAUUCUGAAGCGUGGGCCACAACCUAUGAGGUAAUCUUUGGAGCUUCAUUCUGAGGCGGAAUCCCAUUGGCCAGUUGGGGAAGCCCCUCCCAGGAUUCCUGGCGCUCCGCCUUCCCUGAAGCCUAUAAAAGCGCAGGUCCCCGCCUCGGCAGCCACGGGACACCUGCAUCUGCCAACAAGACUGGAAGCAGAAAGGGACAGAGACGGCGAAGUUUGACGGUCUGGAAAGCAGAGACCAGCAGGGCUGACUGCUUGGGAGCACGAGGGACAGCUCUCCACCGACCGAAGGAGGAGAAUGCUAUUUAUUUCAGCACCAAAUAUCCGGACAGCGCCUCUCGGGAGGUCCGAGAAGAGAACCGCGAUCUGUUUCAGCACCGGGGCUCAGGACAGUUCCCAGCGGGCUCCGUUUCGUCUCCAGAACCCUGGACAGCUCCUCCAGUAGAGACGGGGUUUCACCAUGUUGGCCAGGCUGGUCUCAAACUCUUGACCUCUUCAUCCGUCCACCUCAGCCUCCCAAAGUGCUAGGAUUACAGGCGUGAGUCACUGCGCCUGGCCCAAGUCCGGAAUUUUCAACAGGACAUGGGUGUUACUGUGCCCAUGUGACAUUUGGGGAACCCAAGGCCCUGAGAAAGGCAGAAAAAUAACCCACGCAGGGACUCUCAGCCCACAAGUGAAGCUCUUGGAAUGCACUCCCUCCACCUCCAACCAGAGCUCCCCACAACUGACCCUGCCUUCUUCUGCAAGCUCCAUUUCAUCAAGGGAAACGAUCCUUAUUGCCUCACCAUUUCCCACGUGAAGUCUGUAUUGACAUUCUCAUAGACCUGGGAUAUUGUGUCUGCAGCACAUAGUCCAAUUAUUUUCAUGUUAUCUACUGACAGGUCUAUUUGUCUCCCUGUUACACUGUGAGCUCCGUGAGGGCAGAAACAAUGUUAGUAUUUUCACUGCUGUGUCCCCAGCGCCUGGUCCGGGGCCCGGCACACAGCAGGCAUAUAAUAAGCAUGUGUUGAAUCAAUAAAGGCAUCAAAGAAUAAACCAAUACAUCAAUCAAUAAAUGAAUGAAUGGCCUCAGCACACACAGGAAGAUCCUUCUUCUAGGUCUCCCCCAGAGAGAUACUGGAGGGCAAUGGUUGCUGGAGGUGUUUAUUGGGGAAGCAUAAUUGAAUUUGUGGACACUUAAGGGCCGGCCAGCCAACUCACAGCCCCAAGAGAGAGAGCCAGGCUCAUUUAAUUAGCAAUUACAAGGCACUGAUUCCUCAUUAGCUCUGGCAACCCUCGUCUCCCUCCUCAGCCCCAGACAAAUGAAAUCUUUCUCUCUCUCCCAGGAGUACUGCCUCAGUGGGUCCAUUAACAAGCAGAGAAAAUGAGAUUAGAAGACACCUAAAUGCCAGAGGCACUUUAUGAAUGGGCUGAGCAGAGGGAGGUUCAAUGUCUGGGUUAGGUCUAAUUGUGGGAGGUUUCCUGGUCUAUUUAGAAUUGCCCCCUGGGAAUGCAAGGUCUUUCAGAAAGGAAAAGGCACACAGAUAUUGCCUUCUGGGGUCCUCAAUGGAGGAGGACAUUCUGCUAUGGGUGUCUCCCAGUCACCCCAAAUUAAUCAUUUCAAAGUGAACACUCAAUCUGCCCAGCCCCUAGCUUCCUCCCCUGACAUGCCCAUGAAUAUGACAGUCCCUCUACAUGCCCAAGAUCCUCCCCUCCUCAUCCACUCCCCAUGAUCCCCAAGAUGAGUCACUGUGCUCAAAUCCAUCCUCUCUCCUCCAGCCCUCUGCCUCCAUGACCUCCCUCCAGCCCUCUGCCUCCAUGACCUCCGCCUCCCUGCAUGUCCGGAUCUCCUCACUGUCUCCCCUCUGAGCAUACACACACAUACAGCCUGUUCAUUCUCUACAUGCAGCGAGGGGACUUUCCAGAACACACAUCUGACCAAGUUCCACUCCUGCCUGUCACCCUUCCAAGAGCCCCACUGACUGCAGAAUAACGUUCAAAUAUCCGGUUGGGCGUGGUGGCUCAUGCCUGCAGUCCCAGCACUUUGGGAGGCCAAGGUGGGUGGAUCACUUGCACAGGACCACAGGCGUGUGCCACCACACCCAGCUAAUUUUUAUAUUUUUGGUAGAGACGGAGUUUCACCAUGUUGGCCAGGCUGACCUCAAGUGAUCCACCCGCCUCAACCUCCCAAAGUGCUGGGAUUACAGGCAUGAGUCACUGCACCGGUCUAAUUUUUUCAGAGUCUCACUCUUGCCCAGGCUGGAGUGCAGUAGCAUGAUCUCGGUUCACUGCAACCUCUGCCUCCUGGUUUCAAGCGAUUCUCUUGGCUCAGCCUCCUGAGCAGCUGGGAUUACAGGCACGUGCCACCACACUUAGCUAAUUUUUGUAUUUUUAGUAGAGAUGGGGGUCUCACCAUGCUGGCACAGUUGGUCUUGAACUCCUGACCUCAAGUGAUCCACCCACCUCGGCUUCCCAAAGUGCUGGGAUUACAGACGUGAGCCACCGCGCCCGGCCAGCCUUUAUUGAUUCUUUUUAAAGCCACACUAACCUUUUAUUUUCCCCCAAAGACCCCUGGGAGCCCUCAGUUUUUCCUGGCAGUUUCAUCUUUGUACCCCUGACCUCCCCACACACACGCCUAGCUCAGUGCUGGCAUCCAAUAUUCACUUUGGGUAUAAAUGCUUGUGCCUGAGCCUAUCACCUUCAUCACACAGAAAAUCCUGGAGGCCACACACCCCUGUAAAGACGAGCCAUUACCCACAGAGGUCCAACCAACUUACCACCCUCUCCCAGCCACCCCCAAGGACCCAGCUUGCAGCUGCCUGCUCAAUGGCUUUAGAAACUAAAAAAGGUGAAUGAGUUUCCAUCACUGCCCUCCUGGGCUUUGCCGUUAUGGCUGGUUAACUUGACAGAAGAACACAUUAUACUUCAUUUUUUGCUGUUGUCUUGUUGGAAAAAAAAGUGACAGCUGGGUGCAGUGGUGCACACUGUAGUCACAGCUACUCAGGAGAAUUGCUUGAGCACAGGAAUUGGAGGCUACACUGAGCAAUGAUCGCCUCACUGCACUCCAGCCUGAACGACAGAGCAAGACCCUCUUAAAAAAUACGUGAGAGAGGGUGCGUAUGAUGGCUCAUGCCUGUAAUCCCAGCAGUUUG